AUGAACGCUGGCGGCGUGCCUAAUACAUGCAAGUCGAGCGAACGGACGAGAAGCUUGCUUCUCUGAUGUUAGCGGCGGACGGGUGAGUAGCACGUGGAUAACCUACCUAUAAGACUGGGAUAACUUCGGGAAACCGGAGCUAAUACCGGAUAAUAUUUUGAACCGCAUGGUUCAAAAGUGAAAGACGGUCUUGCUGUCACUUAUAGAUGGAUCCGCGCUGCAUUAGCUAGUUGGUAAGGUAACGGCUUACCAAGGCAACGACGCAUAGCCGACCUGAGAGGGUGAUCGGCCACACUGGAACUGAGACACGGUCCAGACUCCUACGGGAGGCAGCAGUAGGGAAUCUUCCGCAAUGGGCGAAAGCCUGACGGAGCAACGCCGCGUGAGUGAUGAAGGUCUUCGGAUCGUAAAACUCUGUUAUUAGGGAAGAACAUAUGUGUAAGUAACUGUGCACAUCUUGACGGUACCUAAUCAGAAAGCCACGGCUAACUACGUG
rnacentral:rRNA from 1 species